GUGGGGAAUAUUGCACAAUGGGGGAAACCCUGAUGCAGCGACGCCGCGUGGGUGAAGAAGUACUUCGGUAUGUAAAGCCCUAUCAGCAGGGAAGAAAGAGCGGAGGAAUCCGCUUGGGACAGUACCUGAAUAAGCAGCCCCGGCUAACUACGUGCCAGCAGCCGCGGUAAUACGUAGGGGGCAAGCGUUAUCCGGAUUUACUGGGUGUAAAGGGAGCGUAGACGGCAAUGCAAGUCUGGAGUGAAAGCCCGGGGCUCAACCCCGGGACUGCUCUGGAAACUGUAAAGCUAGAGUGCGGGAGGGGCAGGCGGAAUUCCUGGUGUAGCGGUGAAAUGCGUAGAUAUCAGGAGGAACACCGGCGGCGAAGGCGGCCUGCUGGACCGUAACUGACGUUGAGGCUCGAAAGCGUGGGGAGCAAACAGGAUUAGAAACCCGAGUAGUCC
rnacentral:rRNA from 1 species